rnacentral:tRNA from 1 species
CCCUGGGUGGUACAAAUGGUUAUUAGUGCAUUUGGCUGCUAACCGAAAGGUUGGCAGUUCGAGUCUGUCCAGAGGUG